rnacentral:miRNA from 1 species
AUAUUAGGUUGGUGCAAAAGUAAUUGUGAUUUCUGCCACUUUUAAUGGCAAAAAACACAAUUACUUUUGCACCAGCCUAAUAA